ncrna:Staphylococcus delphini 8086 drum RNA
AGGUGUUGAUAUUCUAGGCUGUGUCACUAAGCAGUGUAGAAAGUAGCCAUCGAAAGGGUAGCAUUCGCCUCAAAGUGACUAGAACUAAGGUUCGAAAGAAAAUGCAAAGA